rnacentral:tRNA from 1 species
ACCUGGCUGGCUCAGUUGGAAGAGCAAUGCAACUCUUGAUAUUGCAGUCAUGAGUUCAAGUCUCAUGCUGGGUG